UACGUAGGGUGCAAGCGUUUGUCCGGAAUUAUUGGGCGUAAAGAGCUCGUAGGCGGUUUGUCGCGUCUGCUGUGAAAUCCCGAGGCUCAACCUCGGGCCUGCAGUGGGUACGGGCAGACUGGAGUGCGGUAGGGGAGAAUGGAAUUCCUGGUGUAGCGGUGGAAUGCGCAGAUAUCAGGAGGAACACCGAUGGCGAAGGCAGUUCUCUGGGCCGUAACUGACGCUGAGGAGCGAAAGCGUGGGGAGCGAACAGG
rnacentral:rRNA from 1 species